UUUUAUCAACUAGAUAAAUUAAUCCUUUUUGCUCUGUUUAUAUGUUUGUGAAGUAAAAUUGGUCGCAAGGAAAUCCAUAUUUUCUGGUUGAAGUUGCCUUUUUUUAUGAUCUGUACUGGACUAUGUAUUGGAAUUAUUGAUUUGCUUAGUUUUGAACUUUGUAUGUGGUAAUAUCUGGGGACUGGGAUCUCUUUCAUUGCAUGUUAUGGGGUCUUGGUUUGAAUUGAAAUUCGUUUUUCGUUUAAGUUUUUGUU
rnacentral:lncRNA from 1 species